AGCAAUUUCGUCUCUUCCACCUUCUACUUUUCACGUGGGCUGACAAUAAAAUAUUCCUCAUUCCCUGACACUAGGAUUUUGUUGUGGGACCACCUGUAAAAUGGUUAUUGUACCGUUCCUAGGUGCGCUCAUUUUAUCAGCUAUAAAAGUUUUUUUUUUAUCUUCUUCUUCUUCAGAUUUGAUGACUUCGUGCGCCUUCAUCAUUCGGCUCUGCCUCAAAGUGAUCCUUUCAUCGCAUAGCCUGUUCAGCUAUAAUGGAUGAUUUCUUAUAGGAUAGAUUUG
rnacentral:lncRNA from 1 species